rnacentral:lncRNA from 1 species
CAUUUCUUGAGAUUAUGACAAUUUGAAAAAGACAAAACACAUGGCCUACAGAUAUGAAAAAUUAACAAUAAUCUAAGUAUGUCGUGAAUGCAUAAAAUACAUGUAGACAUUAGUCUUUUUAUCAUUUACUACCAUAACAUACACAUAAAUUUAUAGAAAGAUAAAAUUCAUCAAAACUUAGGCACACAUAUACUUAGAGACUUUACAUGGCAACAUUUGCAAUAGAGAGACAUGUAAAUAAAUGUAAAGAUUCAGUAUUAAGUCAUAACUGCAUAAAAUUAACUGUAGUGCAUACUAUGCUACUGUAAUAAUUUUCCAGCCACCUCCUGUUGCUAUUGCAGUGAACUCAAUUGUUGGGGGUAUCUGCUCAAAUGCCAGAUGACACCAAUCAUCUCCAUGCAAGCAGUUCAUUUCUCUAGUAAAUUGUAUGUAACAGUAAGAAGUGUUUGUCCAUAGUUCUGCAUUUUUCAUUGUGUUUAAUGCAGUACCUUAAACCUGGCAUAACACCAUGCGACCCAUACGAAGUGUCACUAGUGAUGCUGGAAGUGCUCCCAGGAAGCGGAUAGGUCAUGACAUUAUAAGAAAAAGCUGAAUUCCUUGACAUGUAGCACAGAUCGAAGUCUGCAACUGGGGUUGCCCCCCAUUUCAGACAGAUGAUUCAUCUAGGAAAUAGACAAUGUAAACUUAUUGUAUGGACAAAGACAGUAAAGUACUGCAAAUGUAUUUUCUUUUCCUUGUGAUUUUCCUAAUAACAUUUUCUUUUCCCUCGCUUAUCUUAUUAUAAGAAUAUGGUGUGCAAUACAUGUAACAUAGAAAAUAUGUGUUGACUGUUUAUGUAUAUGCAAAUUAUUGACAAUUUGGGGGAUGGCACCCCUAACUCCCGUGUUAUUCAAGGGUCAAUUGUACAUCAAGUAUUAAAACACUGAAAUAAAUUUUGUAAUUGUAUUGGCUUUUUACCAAAAGUGUAUAAUUUGCAAUUCUGACUUUCCUUCACUUACUGUUGCGAGUAAAAAAGAUGACACUAAUGUAUUUCUUUUCAUUAGAAAAAUAGUUCAUCGUCUUCCAGGUUAGGAAGGGAAAGAACCAAAGAGUGGAAUUUUAGUUAAAUUUUAAUUGAUUUUUAAAUUGUCUAAAUUCCAAAAAUCUAAUAUUUUAUAUAAUUAAUUUUAAUCUAAGUUAUAAGCAUUUCUUCAAAGCUUUCUUCAAUAUCUCCAAAUUUGUUCACAGGUAGUGUGUGCCUCCAUGCAUGCAUAUGUAUGUAUUAUUUGUUCCUUAAUAUAAAACUAUUCUUAGGAUUUAUGUUGUGAGGAUUGCCUUAUAGAUGACACAUAAUUUAAUAAAAGAUCCUUCAAUCACUGGAUAAACUAACAUCCUUCUUGUGUCCAAGAUACAAUUAUGCAUAGUUUUAUGAAAGAGUGACUUUUUAUUUAAGACAACAGCAAAUUAUUAAGUUAGAUGUAAUUUUAGUUACAACUUGGCUAAAAUCUACCUAUAAACAAUGUUAAAAAUUGUCAGAAUAAAAAUAGAGUCACUUGUGUUAAAAAACAAAAAAAAAAAAAAAA